rnacentral:rRNA from 1 species
CCUACGGGGGGCUGCAGUGAGGAAUAUUGGUCAAUGGACGAGAGUCUGAACCAGCCAAGUAGCGUGAAGGAUGACUGCCCUAUGGGUUGUAAACUUCUUUUAUAUGGGAAUAAAACAGGGUAUGCAUACCCUCUUGUAUGUACCAUAUGAAUAAGGAUCGGCUAACUCCGUGCCAGCAGCCGCGGUAAUACGGAGGAUCCGAGCGUUAUCCGGAUUUAUUGGGUUUAAAGGGUGCGCAGGCGGGCUGUUAAGCCGGCGGUAAAAAUUCAGGGCUCAACCCUGUCGAACCGUCGGAACUGGCAGUCUUGAGUGGGCGAGAAGUAUGCGGAAUGCGUGGUGUAGCGGUGAAAUGCAUAGAUAUCACGCAGAACGCCGAUUGCGAAGGCAGCAUACCGGCGCCCAACUGACGCUGAGGCACGAAAGCGUGGGGAUCGAACAGGAUUAGAUACCCGGGUAGUC